rnacentral:rRNA from 1 species
GAUGAACGCUAGCUACAGGCUUAACACAUGCAAGUCGAGGGGCAUCAUGGUGGUUGCUUGCAACCGCUGAUGGCGACCGGCGCACGGGUGAGUAACGCGUAUCCAACCUGCCCACUACCAGGGGAUAACCCAGCGAAAGUUGGCCUAAUACCCUAUGGUUUCUUCCGAUUGCAUAAGACGAAGAAUAAAGAUUUUAUCGGUAAUGGAUGGGGAUGCGUCUGAUUAGCUUGUUGGGGGGGUAACGGCCCACCAAGGCAUCGAUCAGUAGGGGUUCUGAGAGGAAGGUCCCCCACAUUGGAACUGAGACACGGUCCAAACUCCUACGGGAGGCAGCAGUGAGGAAUAUUGGUCAAUGGGCGGGAGCCUGAACCAGCCAAGUAGCGUGCAGGAUGACGGCCCUAUGGGUUGUAAACUGCUUUUAGUUGGGAAUAAAGCGAGGGACGUGUCCCUUAUUGUAUGUACCAUCAGAAAAAGGACCGGCUAAUUCCGUGCCAGCAGCCGCGGUAAUACGGAAGGUCCAGGCGUUAUCCGGAUUUAUUGGGCGUAAAGCGCGUCUAGGCGGUUUGGUAAGUCUGAUGUGAAAAUGCGGGGCUCAACUCCGUAUUGCGUUGGAAACUGCCAAACUAGAGUACUGGAGAGGUAGGCGGAACUACAAGUGUAGAGGUGAAAUUCGUAGAUAUUUGUAGGAAUGCCGAUGGGGAAGCCAGCCUACUGGACAGAUACUGACGCUAAAGCGCGAAAGCGUGGGUAGCAAACAGG